UACGUAGGGUGCGAGCGUUAAUCGGAAUUACUGGGCGUAAAGCGUGCGCAGGCGGCGGCUCAAGUCAGGUGUGAAAUCCCCGGGCUUAACCUGGGAAUUGCGCUUGAAACUAGGUCGCUAGAGUGUGGCAGAGGGGGGUGGAAUUCCACGUGUAGCAGUGAAAUGCGUAGAGAUGUGGAGGAACACCGAUGGCGAAGGCAGCCCCCCUGGGUCAACACUGACGCUCAUGCACGAAAGCGUGGGGAGCAAACAGG
rnacentral:rRNA from 1 species